UUUCCUCAGGUGUGUGUUCUAGGAAAGGGUGACAAGCCAUGAUGCCAGCAUUGUUAAUUAGGAUCGUCACAUUUCCAACUUCCUCCCUAACUUUCUCAGCCGUUUUGAAUACUUCUUCCCUGUUUGAAACGUCGCAUCUACGGAUUGCGUGAAAUGAUGAGCGACCGAGCGAUCUUCUCUUCGAGAACGAUAUCCACGUAAAUUAUGCGAAUGCAACAGUCAUUAUCCGUAAUUACAGCAAUGUACGUAGUUGAUUACAUAUCUUGUUUCAGUGAGUAAAAGAGAAGAAUUAACGAUUUCGCUUACCGAUAUCGAGCUGGUGUAUCUCAGAUCGAAGUGAGCGGAUUUAAUCACGAAAAA